CUUAUUCUCCUAUGGAACACCCUGCCUUUUUUUUUUUUUUCUCCUUCGUAGGCUUUAACUCUGUUUCUAGUUAAAUAGGCAUCUGUGUGAUUGUUUGUGUCAGUGUCCAUCUGCUCUGACAGAACUGUGUCUCUGCUGUUCAGGCUGUCAGCCCAGGGCCUGCCCCAGAGCUGUGGAGUGAAUGAGACUGGCUUGUGGCCCAAGGCUCCAAGGAUCAGGAUCUCUGUAAUAUGUGAGUUCCUGUCCAUGAGAGCUGACUUGCACAGUCUUGAGAGCCCCUGGGGACAUUUUGCCUGGGCUCCAGGAACUGUACUCUCUGAUCACAAGGCUGGACAUACUACCUCCUCCUCUCUCAGGGGGGAAGAAGGCUAAGGAAGGAUAUCUUACUCUUUCCCUCCACUCCAGCCUUUGAGUUAAUUCACAAGUGCAUGUGCAGGCUCUGUCUCCACUUUCUCCUGGCACUCUACAGCAGGUCUCCAAAGCCUGAGUCGUCCACCCUGCAACUGCCCAAGCCCACGGCAGAGCCCAGCUGCCCUGCUAUUCCUCCCAUAACCUGGG